AAGCACCUUCUGAGACACAAUCCAGUUUGGGAGAGGCCUUGUUAAACAGUCCUUUGAAAGAGCCUGGUGCAUUUUCAGCAGGGCUUUCAGAGACGGCCACAGAAUGCAACCAAAAUGAAGCCGCAAGUCAUUCAGGGCCUGGUCUGGUCAGCAGUGUUGAAAAGACGGCCACAGAAUGCAACCAAAAUGAAGCCGCAAGUCAUUCAGGGCCUGGUCUGGUCAGCAGUGUUGAAAAGACGGCCACAGAAUGCAACCAAAAUGAAGCCGCAAGUCAUUCAGGGCCUGGUCUGGUCAAUAGUGUUGAAAAGG